AUUGAACGCUGGCGGCAGGCUUAACACAUGCAAGUCGAGCGGGGUGAGGUGCUUCGGUACUGAUCCUAGCGGCGGACGGGUGAGUAAUGCUUAGGAAUCUGCCAUUUAGUGGGGGACAACAUUCCGAAAGGAAUGCUAAUACCGCAUACGUCCUACGGGAGAAAGCAGGGGAUCUUCGGACCUUGCGCUAAAUGAUGAGCCUAAGGCGGAUUAGCUAGUUGGUGGGGUAAAGGCCUACCAAGGCGACGAUCUGUAGCGGGUCUGAGGGGAUGAUCGGCCACACUGGGACUGGAACACGGCCCAGACUCCGACGGGAGGCAGCAGUGGGGAAUAUUGGAUAAUGGGCGGAAGCCUGAUCCAGCCAUGCCGCGUGUGUGAAGAAGGCCUUUUGGUUGUAAAGCACUUUAAGCGAGGAGGAGGCUACCUGGAUUAAUACUCUAGGAUAGUGGACGUUACUCGCAGAAUAAGCACCGGCUAACUCUGUGCCAGCCGCCGCCGUAAAAC
rnacentral:rRNA from 1 species